AAAGCUCAAAUUUAAAAUCUGGCAAUCUUCUGGUUGUCUGAGUUGUUAUCUAGAGAAGUGUUAUCCGCGUUGGACCGUGUAUAAGUCUUCUGGAAUGGAGCAUCAUAGAGGGUGAGAAUCCCGUCUUUGACAUGGACUACCAAUGCAUUGUGAUGCGCUCUCAAAGAGUCGAGUUGUUUGGGAAUGCAGCUCAAAAUGGGUGGUAAAUUCCAUCUAAAGCUAAAUAUUGGCGAGAGACCGAUAGCGAA
rnacentral:rRNA from 1 species